rnacentral:rRNA from 1 species
GAUGAACGCUGGCGGCGUGCCUAAUACAUGCAAGUCGAGCGAACGGACGAGAAGCUUGCUUCUCUGAUGUUAGCGGCGGACGGGUGAGUAACACGUGGAUAACCUACCUAUAAGACUGGGAUAACUUCGGGAAACCGUAGCUAAUACCGGAUAAUAUUUUGAACCGCAUGGUUCAAAAGUGAAAGACGGUCUUGCUGUCACUUAUAGAUGGAUCCGCGCUGCAUUAGCUAGUUGGUAAGGUAACGGCUUACCAAGGCAACGAUGCAUAGCCGACCUGAGAGGGUGAUCGGCCACACUGGAACUGAGACACGGUCCAGACUCCUACGGGAGGCAGCAGUAGGGAAUCUUCCGCAAUGGGCGAAAGCCUGACGGAGCAACGCCGCGUGAGUGAUGAAGGUCUUCGGAUCGUAAAACUCUGUUAUUAGGGAAGAACAUAUGUGUAAGUAACUGUGCACAUCUUGACGGUACCUAACCAGAAAGCCACGGCUAACUACGUGCCAGCAGCCGCGGUAAUACGUAGGUGGCAAGCGUUAUCCGGAAUUAUUGGGCGUAAAGCGCGCGUAGGCGGUUUUUUAAGUCUGAUGUGAAAGCCCACGGCUCAACCGUGGAGGGUCAUUGGAAACUGGAAAACUUGAGUGCAGAAGAGGAAAGUGGAAUUCCAUGUGUAGCGGUGAAAUGCGCAGAGAUAUGGAGGAACACCAGUGGCGAAGGCGACUUUCUGGUCUGUAACUGACGCUGAUGUGCGAAAGCGUGGGGAUCAAACAGGAUUAGAUACCCUGGUAGUCCACGCCGUAAACGAUGAGUGCUAAGUGUUAGGGGGUUUCCGCCCCUUAGUGCUGCAGCUAACGCAUUAAGCACUCCGCCUGGGGAGUACGACCGCAAGGUUGAAACUCAAAGGAAUUGACGGGGACCCGCACAAGCGGUGGAGCAUGUGGUUUAAUUCGAAGCAACGCGAAGAACCUUACCAAAUCUUGACAUCCUUUGACAACUCUAGAGAUAGAGCCUUCCCCUUCGGGGGACAAAGUGACAGGUGGUGCAUGGUUGUCGUCAGCUCGUGUCGUGAGAUGUUGGGUUAAGUCCCGCAACGAGCGCAACCCUUAAGCUUAGUUGCCAUCAUUAAGUUGGGCACUCUAAGUUGACUGCCGGUGACAAACCGGAGGAAGGUGGGGAUGACGUCAAAUCAUCAUGCCCCUUAUGAUUUGGGCUACACACGUGCUACAAUGGACAAUACAAAGGGCAGCGAAACCGCGAGGUCAAGCAAAUCCCAUAAAGUUGUUCUCAGUUCGGAUUGUAGUCUGCAACUCGACUACAUGAAGCUGGAAUCGCUAGUAAUCGUAGAUCAGCAUGCUACGGUGAAUACGUUCCCGGGUCU